rnacentral:misc_RNA from 1 species
AACAUCGCGCACCUGCGGGAACCUGCGGAAGGAUCAUUACAGAGUUGCAAAACUCCCCAAACCAUUGUGAACCUUACCUUCAAACGUUGCUUCGGCGGGCGGGCCACAGCGCCCCCCGGGCCCCCCCAGCGGGGGCGCCCGCCGGAGGAUACCCAAACUCUUGAUACUUUAUGGCCUCUCUGAGUCUUCUGUACUGAAUAAGUCAAAACUUUCAACAACGGAUCUCAGAUCGGAAGAGCA